rnacentral:rRNA from 1 species
GACGAACGCUGGCGGCGUGCUUAACACAUGCAAGUCGAACGGAAAGGCUCCAGCUUGCUGGAGUACUCGAGUGGCGAACGGGUGAGUAACACGUGGGUAAUCUGCCCUGCACUCUGGGAUAAGCCUGGGAAACUGGGUCUAAUACUGGAUAUGACCUUUCUCCUUAUGGGGUUUGGUGGAAAGUUUUUCGGUGUAGGAUGAGCCCGCGGCCUAUCAGCUUGUUGGUGGGGUGAUGGCCUACCAAGGCGACGACGGGUAGCCGGCCUGAGAGGGUGAUCGGCCACAUUGGGACUGAGAUACGGCCCAGACUCCUACGGAGGCAGCAGUGGGGAAUAUUGCACAAUGGGCGGAAGCCUGAUGCAGCGACGCCGCGUGAGGGAUGACGGCCUUCGGGUUGUAAACCUCUUUCAGCAGGGACGAAGCGUAAGUGACGGUACCUGCAGAAGAAGCACCGGCUAACUAUGUG